AAAUUUCGAAAUUGCAGGAGGGUGCAAUUGGAGAAGGCACAAACAGCUGAUCCUCUCUGGAAGGCCUCCCAAUUUGAGAUGGUUCAUUACGGGAAGAUGCAUGGUUUUAUGCGGAUGUAUUGGGCAAAAAAGAUCCUUGAGUGGACAAGAGGACCUGAAGAUGCCUUGA